rnacentral:tRNA from 1 species
GGUCCCGUAGCUCAGUUGGCUAGAGCGCCUGCCUUACAAGCAGGAAGUCACAGGUUCGAGCCCUGUCGGGACCAC